rnacentral:rRNA from 1 species
UAGGGAAUCUUCGGCAAUGGGGGGAACCCUGACCGAGCAACGCCGCGUGAGUGAAGAAGGUUUUCGUAUCGUAAAGCUCUGUUGUUAAGGAAGAACGAGUGUGAGAAUGGAAAGUUCAUGCUGUGACGGUACUUAACCAGAAAGGGACGGCUAACUACGUGCCAGCAGCCGCGGUAAUACGUAGGUCCCGAGCGUUGUCCGGAUUUAUUGGGCGUAAAGCGAGCGCAGGCGGUUAGAAAAGUCUGAAGUGAAAGGCAGUGGCUCAACCAUUGUAGGCUUUGGAAACUGUUUAACUUGAGUGCAGAAGGGGAGAGUGGAAUUCCAUGUGUAGCGGUGAAAUGCGUAGAUAUAUGGAGGAACACCGGUGGCGAAAGCGGCUCUCUGGUCUGUAACUGACGCUGAGGCUCGAAAGCGUGGGGAGCGAACAGG